AACGUGAUGCUUGUUCUCUGCUUGGGCGCUGUCAUGUCCCUCCACUUCCUCUCCGAAGGCGCACCUACUCUGCCGCUGCCCUUUGUCGUGCGUGCACUCGCGCUGCUGCCUUAUCUUCUCUCUCACGCGCGUGUGCGUUGCAGGGGAGCUGCCGCAGCUGCCUUCUCUCUGUGUGCAGAAGCUAUUCUCUUCUCACAUCCGUGGUUGCUGACUGCCGUAUGUAUCGUGACCUCCCAUGGUGGCCAUGCAGGAAUCGCUCAGCAGAACAAUAGCCUGGUUCGAUGUUAUUUGAUCAUUCAGCUAUUUUUGUUUUUUCCUUUUUAAUCUCUCUUUGUUGAAUCAGACAUGGCAUACUCAUUUGUUGCAAACAGGACUCCCAAGCGUAGGUAGCUGACUGAGAGGGAUGGUUCAGAGGAGAACUAACAACAACAGCGGCAAAAACUGGGCUAAAUCGACAGUUUACUGAAGAUAUAAGUAGCAAGGCCAACAGGAACAUCAAAGAUAAAAUAGCAAACUAAACGUUAAGUUUUUCAUUACUCCUUCCUCCCUUCCACCCCUCAAGUUUUAUAACACAGCCCGAGCCACAAGCUUAGUUUCUUAAUCUUGAUUACAACAAAUGAGCUCAUUUACUAAGUAAGUAUCUCAAAAGGAUUUUUUUUAAUUUUCUCAAAAGGAAAUUACAGUACAGCCUUACGAUUGCAAUCAAAAAGGGCAAGACGGAAGCUCAGGCAUAGAUGUAGCCCGAUGCUCUACUGAACAUAACUGAAGAACAGAACAAGUGUCGAACUUAACUGAGGAAUGGUUGCUGAACCUGACAAAGUAUGCGGCGGAAGGAGAGCGAGCGGUGGUGUGCUCUGGCACCAAGGGUGAGCGAUGGCUAGUCCGUUCCUGGGAGGCGACGGUAGCUCUGUUCUGGGGAGGAGAUGCCGAGGAUUUCGAUUUUUCUAGCCUCUUUCUUAAUGUCAAUUUUAUUUUUGAUCCCCAUCUGUGUUUUUGUAUGGCUAUCUUGUGAUUGGUUUCUCUCUGAUCUUUAAUGGCCUAACCCGUGUACCUUUUCUCCUUUUUCUUGUUAUGCAUUAGGCUAUUUUGUUAAAAUAUACCGUAUUGUCCACGAAUGAAUAAAGUGCAAUGCCCAAUUAAGUUGUGUAAUGGCUUACUCAUGGAUUUAGU
rnacentral:lncRNA from 1 species